GGUUACCUUGUUACGACUUCCUGAGCCAUGAUCAAACUCUAGUUACCUUGUUACGACUUCCUGAGCCAUGACCAAACUCUGGUUACCUUGUUACGACUUCACCCCAGUCAUGAAACACAAAGUGGUAAUCGUCCUCCCGAAGGUUAGACUAACUACUUCUUUUGCAUCCCACUCCCAUGGUGUGACGGGCGGUGUGUACAACGCCCGGGAACUUAUUCACCGCGUUAUUCUGACCUGCGAUUACUAGCGAUUCCGACUUCAUGGAGUCUAGUUGCGGACUCCAAUCCGGACUACGACAUUCUUUAAGGGGUCCGCUCCACAUCACUGUCUCGCUUCCCUCUGUAAAUGCCAUUGUAGCACGUGUGUUUGCCUAC
rnacentral:rRNA from 1 species